UGUGUUCUUGUCUCUCGCCUGUCCGGUGAGGAUGAAGAUGUAGUUUCAGUGUUUAAUGCUCAUCCCCUCACUGUGUGUCUGUGUGUUCUUGUCUCUUGACAGGUCUGUGAGGAUGAGAAGGUCUCCACAGUCUGGAGUCUGAUCUCUGACAGCCUCAACAUACCUGUCAAUCAACAGGGACUCCUCUACAAAGGCAAGGCGCUGGCAGGUGAUGAAGUGACACUUUGAAUAUGGGGCCUGAUGAGAGAAGUAUCCUUUUCAUGUGGUUUUGGUUUUGCCGUUGUGAGCAGGUAUGGGAGACAGCACCGUGUCUGCAUGUGAAAUAACAAAGUCAUCGCAGUGGAGGGACUCUCUGAAGGCUGCUGUUUGUGGAUUUGUCUUGUAAUAUUCCUGGAGUGUGUGGCUGUGUGCCUGAGUGACAUCCAGAACUUAAGAGAAGUCGUUUCAAUUCUGGUUCUUUCUUGAGGAGAGGUGCCUUGUAGUGGUCAAAGAAGUCCCCUGGGUCGACAUUGUCUACCUUUUAGGAUUUUGAAUGUUUGAAUCAGAUCGCCCUGUAGUCGUCUUUGUUCAAGACUGAAUAGAUUCAAUUCUUUUAGCCUGUCUGCAUAUGACAUGCCUUUUAAACCCGAGAUAAUUCUGGUUGCUCUUCUUUGCACUCUUUCUAGAGCAGCAAUAUCCUUUUUGUAACAAGGUGACCAGAACUGAACACAAUAUUCUAGGUGAGGUCUUACUAAUUCAUUGUAAAAUUAACAUUACUUCCCUUGAUUUACAUUCAACACUCCUCACAAUAUAUCCAAGCAUCUUGUUGGCAUUUUUUUUAUAGCUUCCCCACAUUGUCUAGAGGAAGACAUUUCUGAGUCAACAUAAACUCCUAGGUCUUUUUCAUAGUUCCCUUCUUCAAUUUCAGUAUCUCCCAUAUGAUAUUUGUAAUGCACGUUUUUAUUGCCUGCAUGCAAUACUUUACACUUUUCUCUAUUAAAUUUCAUUUGUCAUGUGUCUGCCCAGGUCUGAAUGCUGUCUAGAUCAUUUUGAAUGACCUUUGCUGCUGCAACAGUGUUUGCCACUCCUAUUUUUGUGUCGUCUGCAGAUUUAACAAGUUUGCUUACUAUACCAGAAUCUAAAUAAUUAAUGUAGAUUAGGAAUAGCAGAGGACCCAAUACUGAUCCCUGUGGUACACCACUGGUUACCUUGCUCCAUUUUGAGGUUUCUCCUCUAAGCAGUACUUUCUGUUUUCUACAUGUUUACCACUCCCUAAUCCAUGUGCAUGCAUUUGCAUCCAUGUGCAUCCCCUGGUCAGCUGUCCAGCUCACUGCUGCAGAAGUUUGUUUGGGGCUGGGACAAUGGACUUGUGUGUUUUAGCCAUUUGUUAAUCUUUGAAGAGGACCUGCAAGUUUGUCUUGCAGUCUUCCCUGCAAUAAUGAUGGACUUUAUUUAUUUGAGAAUCUGUGUUGGAAAAUGUACUUUUUGACGGUGAAGUUGUGUUUAAAAAAACAAGUAAAGGAAAUGUACAUGAUCUCUAACUCGCUAUUUGACAAAUAACAAUUAAAAAAUGAAAGCAUGUGUGAUGCCUAUUUCCCUGCAAGCCCUUUUCUUUGCCCACUGGAGCACACAGCCUCUUAUGGGGGUUUGGAACCGCAAAUCACUGCAUCUUAAACACACAGCUCUAGAGUCCGUAACUACAGCAUGUACUGUACCGUUUAUUGUGUGUGUUUUAAUGAAGUCUGCUGCUGUACUUGUCUGGCUGUGAGCUUUUGCGUUACCAACAAACAAGGAAUUAAACAAAACAAAAGCAGCUCCGUUCUCAGCCUGGCGUGAGAUUGAUUUUUUUUUUUUUUAUCUACAAUGGGAAGUGCUUUAGACUGAACAACCUCAAGCUCCCUUCAUCUUGUCACAGCUCUGCACUGUGAUAUAAAGUCUAUUUCCUGUUCAUUGUCAUUAUUUUUUGUGUUUUAUUUAUUGUGAUUAUUAUUAGGAUUUUAAGAAUGUAUCGGAAAUGUCUUUGUUUUUGCACAGUGGUAAGGUUAGUCCGAGUCUUUACAAUGGGCAACUGAGCUGUGUUAAGAUAAAACUUUUUUUUUUUAAAUUAAAGAAAAUUAUCUUUAUUAAAAUCAACAGUUCUACUAAAUGGCCACACGAUGGCAGCAUUGAAUAAGGAAUAGCAAGAGCUUCGUUCUGCCUGUCUUCAUAAAGUGCACUGCCUGCUUUGCCCAUUGUUGUAACCUGCUUGACAAAGCCACGCUGAAUUAAUCAGCUCGCUGGGGGUGGGGGUGUGUCUAUUUAUUAUUAUUUUCUUAGCAUGUGCCCUUAUCCAGCGCGACUUACAAUUGUUAUAAGAUAUCACAUUAUUUUUUACAUACAAUUCCCCAUUUAUAUAGUUGAGUUUUUUCUGGAGCAAUCUAGGUAAAGUACCUUGCUCAAGGGUACAGCAGCAGUGUCCCCCCCCCCACCUAGGAUUGAACCCACAACCUUCCGGUCAAGAGUCCAGAGCCCUAACCACUACUCCACACUACUGCCCGUAUUUGUUUGACUCUGUCAAAGAUACAAUAGAAGUGACUCUUUUAUUUUAGCCAUUUUCAAGGCAGUAAUCACCUCCAUGUUGUACAAAUCAUUAGUCCAGUUCAAGUCACAAAUGAGUGUAGUGGUACAGCUGGUAGGAUGGCUCAGUUGGUAGAGCACAGGGCCCUGAUUCCCAGGGUUGGUGGUCCAAACCCCAUUCACAAUGCCUGCUUUUCUGGUUUUUUUUUUUUUCCAAGUUGGUUA